GCCCCUGUGAUGCAAUUGGUAGACAUCUCUUGCUUAGAACGAGAGUGAUACUGGUUCAAGUCCAGUCAGGGGUA
rnacentral:tRNA from 1 species